UGUAUUCACUACUAUAAGUCACUCUGGAUAAGAGCGUCUGCUAAAUGACUAAAA
rfam:Salmo salar isolate Sally breed double haploid chromosome ssa10, whole genome shotgun sequence.